rnacentral:rRNA from 1 species
CGUGUAGGUGGCUGGUUAAGUUGGAUGUGAAAUCCCUCAGCUCAACUGAGGAAUUGCAUUCAAUACUGAUCGGCUAGAGUGUAAAAGAGGAAAGCGGAAUUCCUAGUGUAGCGGUGAAAUGCGUAGAUAUUAGGAGGAACACCAGUGGCGAAAGCGGCUUUCUGGUUUAACACUGACACUGAGGCGCGAAAGCUAGGGGAGCGAACAGGAUUAGAUACCCUGGUAGUCC